GAAACAAAUUUCCCGAUCCAGAGAGCUUCUUCGGAAAUGGCGAACAAGCUAAUCAGCGAGAUGGGGCUCCCCAAAUCGAUAGCUAACGUAUUUUCUGCUCGGAAUAUCCUCACCGCCAAGGAUGCAUUGUCACUGAGUGAGUUUGAGUUAAUGGAGUUGAUGGAUGUUGGAUUGGAAGAGGUUAUGGCUGCAGUAGGACACAUUAGUGAAAUUUCAUGUCCACCUUAUCAAACUGCUUUGUCGUUGCUGGAGCAGCGAAACCACAAUGAGUACCUAGCAGGUCAUCUCCCCACUGGAUUGAAAGGUCUUGAUGCAGCUCUGUGUGGUGGAAUACCAUUUGGCGUUGUGACUGAGCUUGUUGGUCCUGCAGGGAUAGGGAAAACACAAUUCUGCCUGAAGCUUGCUUUGCUUGCAUCAUUGCCUACUUCUCAUGGAGGAUUAGGUGGCCGAGUAAUAUAUAUUGAUGUGGAAUCCAAAUUUAGUUCAAGAAGGAUUAUAGAAAUGGGGCUCAGUAGUUUCCCAGAAAUAUUUAACAUGGAAGGCAUGGCUCAACAGAUGGCUGGAAGAAUUCUGGUUCUGCAGCCAGAAUCAUUAUCUGAAUUCACCGAAAGCUUGCAGAAAAUAAAGGUUUCUCUCCUCCAGCAUGAUGUAAAGCUGCUUAUCAUUGACAGCAUGACAGCCCUUGCUUCUGGGGAAUAUGGCCAGGGACCCCCUAAACUAGGUUGGCACAUCUCUUUUAUCAAAUCCUUAGCAGAAUGUUGUCGGAUUCCUGUGGUGGUGACCAAUCAAGUAAGAUCUCAAGUUCGUGAUGAAGCCUCCCGAUAUGUAUUCCAAGGGCACGACAGAGCCGACACUUUAGAAGACACUUCAAAAGUUGAAUAUCACCUUGUUGCUGCUCUGGGAAUUCACUGGGCUCAUGCAGUUAGCAUACGUUUAGUUCUAGAAUCUAGAUCAGGAAAAAGGCUUGUAAAGAUAGCAAAAUCUUCUAUAUCUCCAUCUCUGGGGUUUUUCUUCAGAAUAGAUGCAUCUGGGAUCUCGUUUCUUAACUACGAAGGAGAGGAAAUGAGUGGCCCGGAAGCAAACUCUAUUCAUUGCCAAGGCCAGAGUGGUAUAAUCAACUAUGAUCAUGAAGCACUGCAAUAAGAAACCUAGUAUUAUAGAUGAUAAGAGCGAGGUGCAGUCAACUAUUUGGCCUCAUAUUGCUCGUGUUCCCAUAAUUGUUGCUUCUGGUCUCUCCUCAUGGAUAUCAUUAUGCAAGAAGAAACCAGCCAUACGAUGAGGAUGACUUUAUGCUGGAGUGCAUGAUCCGUGCAUGAUGCUCCUUGUGCGAAGUAUUAUCAUUUUGAUAAUAGAUGACUAACUCUAGAACACAGACAUGUUGAAGGCAAUAUGACGCACAUCUGACUCGUAGAAGUUUGCAAGUGUAACUUAGAAUUUACAUUUGUUUGACUUGCAAAAUAUGUGAUGUAGACAAACCAUUCUAAUAGUAUAAUCUGUACUCUGAAUGAUUCAGAUCUCUAAA